rnacentral:rRNA from 1 species
AGUGAACGCUGGCGGUAGGCCUAACACAUGCAAGUCGAACGGCAGCACAGUAAGAGCUUGCUCUUACGGGUGCCGAGUGGCGGACGGGUGAGGAGUACAUCGGAAUCUACUUUUUCGUGGGGGAUAACGUAGGGAAACUUACGCUAAUACCGCAUACGACCUACGGGUGAAAGCAGGGGAUCUUCGGACCUUGCGCGAUUGAAUGAGCCGAUGUCGGAUUAGCUAGUUGGCGGGGUAAAGGCCCACCAAGGCGACGAUCCGUAGCUGGUCUGAGAGGAUGAUCAGCCACACUGGAACUGAGACACGGUCCAGACUCCUACGGGAGGCAGCAGUGGGGAAUAUUGGACAAUGGGCGCAAGCCUGACCCAGCCAUACCGCGUGGGUGAAGAAGGCCUUCGGGUUGUAAAGCCCUUUUGUUGGGAAAGAAAAGCAGCAGGUUAAUACCCCGCUGUUCUGACGGUACCCAAAGAAUAAGCACCGGCUAACUUCGUG